UUAUUUUUUUUUACAUUGAGAGGAACUAUUUCCAAAUAGAAAAACCCUAAAAAGUUCUCCUCUCUGUUUUUUUUUUUGGCACAAAGGCAGCCGCUACUCAACCUUCCAUUUUCCUUCUCCUCCACAGUCAAACAACCACCGAGAAUCGCUGAUCUCUCCCUCACUGAAACAACCAGUAAAUUGAACAACCCGUUUUCUCCAUUUUCCUUUCGUCUCCAGCCCACAAAAUAGCCGCCUGAAACAUCCAGUCCACCACCACGCUGCUGCCAACAACCUCUGAGCUCGCAGCGAACUUCAAGUAGAACAAACCUCAUUGCUUCUUCUCUCUUCCUCUACGCUGGAAUCCGGCGAAACCUACCUUCAAAACCCCUCUCCUCCACGCCGGAGAUUUGGCCAGCAAACAACCAGCCUUCGACCCUCAACCCAAAGCUCCGAACAACCACCCGAAACCACCCUUGCUCCAACCACCAGAUCCAGGUCGGAGCGCCACGACCAAGACCCAUCAGAAAGCCACCAAAACCCAUCAAUAAACCAGAUCCCAAACCCCUUUCUUUUCCCGUUUUCCUGCAGUAGAUCCGGCGAGGAGCUUAAAGCUCGAUGAACCGGAGCUUAACAACACAGACAGUCCUUUCCCCUUUCCCUUUUUCAAUUUUUUUGUUUGCAUACAUGUGUCUUCACCAUUAACUCCAGCAAGCUAAGUUCCAGCGAACAAGAGCAGGACCACCAGAUCUCCACCGCGAUGAGCUUCAGGCUCGAUGAAUCGGUGAACAACAAACUACAACCAGCUCCAUCCAACUGCUGCGAUGCUACAUUCAGUGACCAACGAAUCCCAUCACACUGCAAACUCCGGUGGACAACAGCCACACUACAACAACAACUCUACAAUGCUCAACAAUGGUCAAAACUGCAACAAAUACUAAGCGAAAAUGAAGAUACAGGAUGGAGGCUCAAGGUGGACUGUAUACAGUCAAUAUGUGGGACGACAUGCAGGAAAUGGUGUCGAUAUGUGAGCUGUAUAUGAUGAUAUACAGCUUGUGUAUACAAAAACGGGUUUCAUUGAUGUUCUUUGUGUUUAUUAACUCUGCCUUUAUUUGUUUUGGUUUUGACUUAAUUAAAUCCUCAAACGAUGAAGUAUAUUCUUUAUAUUAGUAUAUUUUAAUUUAA